GGCAGGCGGAAUGUGUGGUGUAGCGGUGGAAUGCUUAGAGAUCACACAGAACACCGAUUGCGAAGGCAGCUUGCCAAUCCAUAUCUGACGCUGAGGCACGAAAGCGUGGGUAGCAAACAGGAUUAGAUACCCUGGUAGUCCACGCAGUAAACGAUGAUAGCUCGUUGUUCGCGAUACACAGUCGGUGACUUAGCGAAAGCGUUAAGCUAUCCACCUGGGGAGUACGUUCGCAAGAAUGAAACUCAAAGGAAUUGACGGGGGCCCGCACAAGCGGAGGAACAUGUGGUUUAAUUCGAUGAUACGCGAGGAACCUUACCCGGGCUUGAAAGUUAGUGACGGGGGUCGAAAGAUCCCUUACCCUUCGGGGCACGAAACUAGGUGCUGCAUGGUUGUCGUCAGCUCGUGCCGUGAGGUGUCGGAUUAAGUUCCAUAACGAGCGCAACCCUUGCCGUUAGUUGCCAUCAAGUGAUGUUGGGCACUCUAACGGGACUGCCGGUGUAAGCCGAGAGGAAGGUGGGGAUGACGUCAAAUCAGCACGGCCCUUACGUCCGGGGCGACACACGUGUUACAAUGGUCGGUACAGAGGGCAGCUACCCAGCGAUGGGAUGCGAAUCUCGAAAGCCGAUCUCAGUUCGGAUCGGAGGCUGAAACCCGCCUCCGUGAAGUUGGAUUCGCUAGUAAUCGCGCAUCAGCCAUGGCGCGGUGAAUACGUUCCCGGGCCUUGUACACACCGCCCGUCAAGCCAUGGAAGCUGGGGGUGCCUGAAGUACGUGACCGCAAGGAGCGUCCUAAGGCAAAACCGGUGACUGGGGCUAAGUCGUAACAAGGUAACC
rnacentral:rRNA from 1 species